rnacentral:rRNA from 1 species
UUUCCCUCAGGAUAGCUGGCACUCGCUUGAGCGAGUCUCAUCUGGUAAAGCGAAUGAUUAGAGGCCUUGGGGCCGAAACGACCUCAACCUAUUCUCAAACUUUAAAUGGGUGAGAUCUCUGGCUUGCUUGAACGUUGAAGCCACGAGAUUAUUGUUGGAUCAGAGUGCCAAGUGGGCCAAUUUUGGUAAGCAGAACUGGCGCUGUGGGA